UUCACCCACACACACACACACACACACACACACACACACACAGACAUCGUGGCAUUUUAAACAAGUGUUCCAAUUUCACACUUGGACUCCGAGAGGACUUGUCAUCUACAAUUGAUGGUGUGUCGCCCGACACGAAGAGGUACUAGUUUCAUAAACCCUCUGAACUGUGAAUCUCAAGCCGAGGGCAUGCAGCACAUCAGUAACAUACUGUAUGGAUGACACAGCGUUUCAGAGUGAGAAAUUGUUCUGGUGGAAAAUGGUACGAGGAGGGAGAAAGGGAGGAAUGGGUGAGAAGAACGACGGGAAUAACACACGGCGGCCUAAUUAUAGUCCAAGUACCAGGCACCUGGGGAAGACUCCAGUGCUAUGGCAACCCUGAACACCCAGGACGAGGAGUGGAGACAUUGAGAGAAAGGCGGUGAAACGAAAGAGCUUCAUCGUUAAGGAGAAACUUUCUCAAAAAGAAAAUCUUCAAAAUAAUGAGUCAGCAACCUCUGCAGGAAUCAAAGAUGUACUGGGGCAAAGCAGUUUUCUGAGUCUGCAUCCAUUUGGUGAAAAAAAUAAGAGUGCUGAAAAGAUGAAAAUAUGAGAACUGUGGAAACUGGGAGAGGAAAAAGGGAGCACAGAAAGUCCAGCUCCACUGUGGUUCCACAAAAUACUUCUACGGCUCGGUUGAAAGAACUGGUUUGUAUUGCUUUCGAUGGGAAGACUGUUUGGGAAAAGCUUGAGUGGAUUUGUCAUAUUAAACUGCUGCGAUGAAAUAAAGAAUUCUGAAUCAUA